UACGUAGGGUGCGAGCGUUGUCCGGAAUUAUUGGGCGUAAAGAGCUUGUAGGCGGUCUGUCGCGUCUGCUGUGAAAAUCCGGGGCUCAACCCCGGACUUGCAGUGGGUACGGGCAGACUAGAGUGUGGUAGGGGAGACUGGAAUUCCUGGUGUAGCGGUGAAAUGCGCAGAUAUCAGGAGGAACACCGGUGGCGAAGGCGGGUCUCUGGGCCACUACUGACGCUGAGGAGCGAAAGCGUGGGGAGCAAACAGG
rnacentral:rRNA from 1 species